rnacentral:rRNA from 1 species
AAGCGGUGGAGCAUGUGGUUUAAUUCGACGCAACGCGAAGUAACCUUACCUGGGCUUGACAUCUGCGGAAUUUCUACGAAGUGGGAAGUGCCUUCGGGAGCCGCAAGACAGGUGCUGCAUGGCUGUCGUCAGCUCGUGUCGUGAGAUGUUGGGUUAAGUCCCGCAACGAGCGCAACCCUUGUCUUUAGUUGCCAUCAUUCAGUUGGGCACUCUAAAGAGACUGCCGGUGUCAAACCGGAGGAGGGUGGGGAUGACGUCAAGUCCUCAUGGCCUUUAUGACCAGGGCUACACACGUACUACAAUGGCCGGUACAAAGGGCAGCCACUUAGCGAUAAGGAGCCAAUCCCGUAAAGCCGGUCUCAGUCCGGAUUGGAGUCUGCAACUCGACUCCAUGAAGUUGGAAUCGCUAGUAAUCGCAGAUCAGCACGCUGCGGUGAAUACGUUCCCGGGCCUU